rnacentral:rRNA from 1 species
AGUGAACGCUGGCGGUAGGCCUAACACAUGCAAGUCGAACGGCAGCACAGUAAGAGCUUGCUCCUACGGGUGGCGAGUGGCGGACGGGUGAGGAAUACAUCGGAAUCUACUUUUUCGUGGGGGAUAACGUAGGGAAACUUACGCUAAUACCGCAUACGACCUACGGGUGAAAGCAGGGGAUCUUCGGACCUUGCGCGAUUGAAUGAGCCGAUGUCGGAUUAGCUAGUUGGCGGGGUAAAGGCCCACCAAGGCGACGAUCCGUAGCUGGUCUGAGAGGAUGAUCAGCCACACUGGAACUGAGACACGGUCCAGACUCCUACGGGAGGCAGCAGUGGGGAAUAUUGGACAAUGGGCGCAAGCCUGAUCCAGCCAUACCGCGUGGGUGAAGAAGGCCUUCGGGUUGUAAAGCCCUUUUGUUGGGAAAGAAAAGCAGCAGGUUAAUACCCCGCUGUUCUGACGGUACCCAAAGAAGAAGCACCGGCGAACUUCGU